rnacentral:rRNA from 1 species
AACGAACGCUGGCGGCAUGCCUAACACAUGCAAGUCGAACGAGACCUUCGGGUCUAGUGGCGCACGGGUGCGUAACGCGUGGGAAUCUACCCUCAGGUACGGAAUAACUCAGAGAAAUUUGAGCUAAUACCGGAUGAUGACGUAAGUCCAAAGAUUUAUCGCCUGAGGAUGAGCCCGCGUAGGAUUAGGUAGUUGGUGAGGUAAAGGCUCACCAAGCCGACGAUCCUUAGCUGGUCUGAGAGGAUGAUCAGCCACACUGGGACUGAGACACGGCCCAGACUCCUACGGGAGGCAGCAGUGGGGAAUAUUGGACAAUGGGCGAAAGCCUGAUCCAGCAAUGCCGCGUGAGUGAUGAAGGCCUUAGGGUUGUAAAGCUCUUUUACCCGGGAUGAUAAUGACAGUACCGGGAGAAUAAGCUCCGGCUAACUCCGUG